rnacentral:lncRNA from 1 species
GCCCACGCGUCCCGGGCUUCAGGGGAGCACCUGGGAAGCGCUGGGGGUCGCGUGCCCUUGGCCGGAGGCCUGGUCACCCGCAGGCCCUGCCAUCCUCGGCUUGGCCGCUGCUGCCCGCGCGCCUGUGGCGGAGCGAGCCUGCCUCCAGGGCAGCCUCACCGCCUGGAUCCUGGGCAGGAGACCUCCCAGGUCCCUUCCUCUCUCCAGCUGUCUGGAAUGGAGCCGCCAUGUCUGGUGCUCAAGCGGCCAGCUCUGACCCAGAGGUAACACGUUAUGGAUUGUGGAGCCGCAGGAUGGAGUAGCCUGGGUCUGAUGGUUCUGUUAGUCAAGGCUAUCCAAAGAAGCAGGACCAAUAGGAAAUACAUAUGUUUACGUUAACCAGUGUUGGUUCCUGUUGUUUACAACCAAGAAUCCUGAGAAGUUCAUAUGUAGCCCACACAUAAGCUGAAGUAUUGCCUUAUGACAUAUUCUGAAUAUUCCAAUUAUUUUGCAAAUAAUUCCACUAAGAGAUUAAUACAUUCUAGAGCAUGUAGCUGUGGUUCAUUCAUUUUCAUAACUGUGUAAUAUUUCAUUGAAUAAAUUUGCUCUUUCUAUAUUUUCAAACCACUUUAUUGAGAUAUUGUUGAAAUGUUAAAAAGUUGUACAUAUUGAAUGUAUGUAACUGGAUUUUGAGGGUAAGUAUACACCCAUGAAACUAUCACUACCAUCCAUCACCUCCUAGCUUUCUCUCACCCCCUUUAUCAUCAUCAUCAUUAGUAUUAUUUGUGCUGUAAUAUAUUUAUCCAUUUUAUUUUUGAUGGACAUUUGAUAUUGAUGGGUAUUGUUUUCAAGUUUUGCAUUACAAUGCUGAUAUAAGGAUUUCUGUAUGUAUAUUUUAGUGUACAUGAAAAAGUAUUUUUCUGUGAUAUAUUCCUGAGAAUAGAAUUGCUAAAUCAUAGAAAAUGCAUAUGUUUAAACUUAUUAGAUAAUGCUAUUUUUCUAAAGUGAGUAAAACAACUUAUUCUCCCACCAGGAGUUACUGAGAGAAUUUAAAUAUUUGCCUAAAAGUCCUUUAAUAUUUUGUUACAUUUAUGGCUAGGUAUUUUAUGUUUUGGUUGCUUUUAUAAGUAGUAAUUUUUUAUUUUUUAACCAUCAGUUACUGGUGUAUAGAUAUGCAGCUGACUUUUGUAUAUCAAAUUUAUGUCUAGAAACCUUACUAAUCUCAGAUUUAUUUGGGUUUUUUCUGGGAAAGACAAUCAUAUUAUCUGGAAAUAAUGCCAAUUUUGUUUUUAAAUUUGUAGUUCUUAUACUUUGUAUUUCUUUUUCUUGUCUUAUUGCACAAUGUGGGAACCUUCAGUAGAAUGUUCACUAUAAAUGGCACUGGCAAACAUUUUUGCUUUAUUUGACUUUAAAGGAGUUGCUUUUAAUAUUUGACUAUUUAAUAUGACAUAUGCUGUAUUUAAAUCUUUAAAAAAGUCUAAGAAAAAUUUUCUAUUUCUAGUUU